rnacentral:misc_RNA from 1 species
AAAAAAAAAUAUAUGGCGAAAUUGCCAAAAAAAUAAAUAUUUUGUUAUUGAAAAGGUCGGGGAAGAUUGAAAGGAGUUCCUACCUUGUAUUAUAGGUAGGAAAUUUCGACCAAACCUUUAGUUUCACAUGAUAAAAACAUGGAUGUCGCGGUUGUUUCAUCUGAGGUGAUUGAUUGCCGGCCACUGCACCCUGUAGUACGGGGUAGUGGACGGUAAAGGUAUAGCUUGCUUAUGAACAACUUCAACAGACAUUUCUCUUAUCCGUCCUCAAGGAUCUCUUUAUGCACGUGCAUGCAUGCACUGCUGCAAUACUUGUAAUUAUAUCUGUGAAAGGGAACCUUACCAGCCAAUGACCCGUUACAGCAACAACAGAGAAUAUCAGUACCCGAGCCACCUGGAGCAGAAACUAAGUCGGUUCCUUGGGCUUUAAGGGCUGCUGCAGCAGCUAAUCUUCUCUCAGCUGCAGCUGCUCUUUUUUCCCUUUCAGCAUCAAGAGCCCUUUUUGAUUCCUCCUCUUUUGAUAAUUUUGCUGAAAGACUAGAUUGUGAUUUUCCUUUAAGAGCUGAAGCAGCAACGCUUCCUCUCUCUGAGUUAGAUGGAGCAGUCUGGACUUGAGCAGCCUCAGCCUGAGCCUUUUUCUGCCUUGCUUUACGCAACUUUUUCAACUCUUUGGCCCUAGCUUUCUUCUUGGCGUUUUUCUCUGCCUGUUUAGCAGCUUGUGUUUCCUCCAUUUCUUUAGUCAAUGCGCUAGGCACCUUAGCAGCAUUCCAAUCCCACUUGUCAAG